UUUUUUUAAAUAAUUAUGAUUUCUACUAUAUUUUAUUUUUUAAUAAUGCAUGUUUAUGUUAUAGUAUGUCAAAAUUAAUCUUUAAAUUUCUUAAAAAAAUAUUAAAUCUUUUGUAAUAUUAAAUUUUUUUUUAAAAAUAAAUAAUUAAAUCCAUUUUUUGAAAUUAAAACAAAUCAACUCAAUGUCAAGCUAGCUGUUGAGAGACAAAU
rnacentral:lncRNA from 1 species